CGUAGGUGGCAAGCGUUAUCCGGAAUUAUUGGGCGUAAAGCGCGCGUAGGCGGUUUUUUAAGUCUGAUGUGAAAGCCCACGGCUCAACCGUGGAGGGUCAUUGGAAACUGGAAAACUUGAGUGCAGAAGAGGAAAGUGGAAUUCCAUGUGUAGCGGUGAAAUGCGCAGAGAUAUGGAGGAACACCAGUGGCGAAGGCGGCUUUCUGGUCUGCAACUGACGCUGAUGUGCGAAAGCGUGGGGAUCAAACAGGAUUAGAU
rnacentral:rRNA from 1 species